rnacentral:rRNA from 1 species
GACGAACGCUGGCGGCGUGCUUAACACAUGCAAGUCACGGGGGCCGCAAGGCAACCGGCGAACGGGUGCGUAACACGUGAACAACCUGCCCUCGUGUGGGGGAGUAGCCAUGCUAACGCGUGGGUAAUACCGCAUACGUUCCCUUGGAGGAGUCUCUGGGGGAGGAAAGCUCCGGCGCACGGGGAGGGGUUCGCGGCCUAUCAGCUAGUUGGCGGGGUAAUGGCCCACCAAGGCGACGACGGGUAGCUGGCUGAGAGGAUGGCCAGCCACAUUGGGACUGAGAGACGGCCAGACUCCUACGGGAGGCAGCAGUGGGGAAUCUUGCGCAAUGGCCGAAAGGCUGACGCAGCGACGCCGCGUGUGGGAUGAAGUCUUAGG